AUUGAACGCUGGCGGCAGGCCUAACACAUGCAAGUCGAACGAGUGGCGGACAGGUGAGUAAUGUCUGGGAAACUGCAUGAUGGCGGGGGAUAACUACUGGAAACGGUAGCUAAUACCGCAUACCAUCAGAUGUGCCCAGAUGGGGUUAGCUUGUUGGUGGGGUAACGGGUCACCAAGGCGACGAUCCCUAGGUGGUCUGAGAGGAUGACCAGCCACACUGGAGCUGAGACGCGGUCCAGACUCCUACGGGAGGCAGCAGUGGGGAAUAUUGCACAAUGGGCGAAAGCCGGAUCCAGCCAUUCCGCGUGUGUGAAGAAGGUCUUCGGAUUGUAAAGCACUUUAAGUUGGGAGGCGUUACCAACAGAAUAAACACCGGCUAACUUCGUGCCAGCAGCCGCGGUAAUAC
rnacentral:rRNA from 1 species